rnacentral:ncRNA from 1 species
ACCCCGUCUGCGGCGACCUCGGCCGUUCACGAUGUGCUUUCGACGAGUCGGGUUGUUUGGGAAUGCAGCCCAAAAUGGGUGGUAAACUCCAUCUAAAGCUAAAUAUUGGCACGAGACCGAUAGCGAACAAGUACCGUGAGGGAAAGAUGAAAAGCACUUUGAAAAGAGAGUUAAAAAGUACGUGAAACCGUUAAAAGGGAAACGAAUGGGGUUAGCAAUGCGUCGUGCGAGAUUCAGCCGGUGGGUGGGCCAGGCGGGCGGUUGGCGGAUCUGAAUGGACCGCUGCCGUUCGGGUUGGUUUCCCGACCGUCGCACUUCUCGCAGGCGCGCGCCAACGUCGGUUAGGGCUGGGUCUCAAAGGCGGUGGAAAGGUAGGUUUGGACUCUCGGGCCCGAACUGUUACAGUCCUCCGUUUGUCAUGGCCCUUACCUGACCGAGGAGCUUGCGGUGCAUGCCGUUCGGCUAGGGUCCCGUCUUCCCGGUCGGUCGUCGAAUGCGGUGGACUGCGUGCAGUGCGCCGCGACUGCUGCCGGUCACGAGGGCGGUGAUUUCGUACUAUGCACCCACGACGUUGGUGGUCAUAUGGCCUCAUCCGACCCGUCUUGAAACACGGACCAAGGAGUCUAACAUGUGUGCGAGUCUUUGAGUGAUCCAAACUCCGAGGCGAAAUGAAAGUGAAGGCGACUUCGGUCGCUGAGGUGAGAGCCUUUUACAAAAAAAGGCGCAUCAUUGACCGACCUAUUCUACUCUUAGAAAGGUUUGAGUAAGAGCGCAUCUGUUAGGACCCGAAAGAUGGUGAACUAUGCCUGAAUAGGGUGAAGCCAGAGGAAACUCUGGUGGAGGCUCGUAGCGAUUCUGACGUGCAAAUCGAUCGUCAAAUUUGGGUAUAGGGGCGAAAGACUAAUCGAACUGUCUAGUAGCUGGUUCCCUCCGAAGUUUCCCUCAGGAUAGCUGGAACUUACGGCAGUUUUAUCAGGUAAAGCGAAUGAUUAGAGGUCUUAGGGUUAAAACAACCUUAACCUAUUCUCAAACUUUAAAUUGGUAAGAAGUCGGACUUGCUUAAUUGAAGCCGGACAGUGAAUGCGAGUUCCUAGUGGGCCAUUUUUGGUAAGCAGAACUGGCGAUGCGGGAUGAACCGAACGCGCGGUUAAGGUGCCAAAGUCGACGCUCAUCAGACCCCACAAAAGGUGUUGGUUGCUCUAGACAGCAGGACGGUGGCCAUGGAAGUUGGAAUCCGCUAAGGAGUGUGUAACAACUCACCUGCCGAAGCAACUAGCCCUGAAAAUGGAUGGCGCUCAAGCGUCGCACCUAUACCGUGCCGUCGGAGCAGAUGCGAAGCUCCGACGAGUAGGAGGGCGUGGGGGUCGUGACGCAGCCUCUGGCGCGAGCCUGGGUGAAACGGCCUCCAGUGCAGAUCUUGGUGGUAGUAGCAAAUAUCAAAU